rnacentral:rRNA from 1 species
GAUGAACGCUGGCGGCGUGCCUAAUACAUGCAAGUCGAGCGAACGGACGAGAAGCUUGCUUCUCUGAUGUUAGCGGCGGACGGGUGAGUAACACGUGGAUAACCUACCUAUAAGACUGGGAUAACUUCGGGAAACCGGAGCUAAUACCGGAUGAUAUUUUGAACCGCAUGGUUCAAAAGUGAAAGACGGUCUUGCUGUCACUUAUAGAUGGAUCCGCGCUGCAUUAGCUAGUUGGUAAGGUAACGGCUUACCAAGGCAACGAUGCAUAGCCGACCUGAGAGGGUGAUCGGCCACACUGGAACUGAGACCCGGUCCAGACUCCUACGGGAGGCAGCAGUAGGGAAUCUUCCGCAAUGGGCGAAAGCCUGACGGAGCCACGCCGCGGGAGUGAUGAAGGUCUUCGGAUCGUAAAACUCUGUUAUUAGGGAAGAACAUAUGUGUAAGUAACUGUGCACAUCUUGACGGUACCUAAUCAGAAAGCCACGGCUAACUACGU